rnacentral:rRNA from 1 species
GUAGGGAAUAUUGGGCAAUGGAUGCAAGUCUGACCCAGCCAUCCCGCGUGCCGGAAGAAGGCCCUCAGGGUUGUAAACGGCUUUUGACGGUGAAGAAUCGACAGGAUGCGUCCUGUUUUGACGGUAGCCGUUGAAUAAGCACCGGCUAACUCCGUGCCAGCAGCCGCGGUAAUACGGAGGGUGCGAGCGUUGUCCGGAUUUAUUGGGUUUAAAGGGUGCGUAGGCUGGAAGGUCAGUCAGCGGUGAAAAGCUGUCGCUUAACGAUAGUCUUGCCGCAGAUACUUCCUUUCUUGGAUGAGGAUGAGGCCACUGGAACGGAUGGUGUAGCGGUGAAAUGCAUAGAUAUCAUCCAGAACACCGAUUGCGAAGGCAGGUGGCUGUACCUUAAUCGACGCUGAUGCACGAAAGCAUGGGGAGCAAACAGGAUUAGAAACCCCUGUAGUCC